UUCCCCUUUGUUAUAUUUUUUUUUUUUUUUUCACACACACACACUGUAUUUUAUUUUUACAAGAGAUAAAUAGACUGACACCAGGCAUUGUACAUGGAUG